GACUGAGUCGACCCAUGUAAACAGAUAAAUUAUAUCAAUCUCUCCAGGACUCAUUUUCUUAUUGUCAAGUGGGGAAAGGCAAUGGAAUGCUACACACAGAAUAACUGUAAGCUAAAAAGAGAAUGGACUCACACUUAGUCCUGAACUUGAUACAGCUCUGGGACCAUCUGUUGGAUUAGCCUUGAGACCCCAAGUAGUGAGUGAUGCAGGAUUCCAAGAAGAACUCAAGUGUGAACUCCAGAGAUUUACAAACCUUAGUGUUGGUGCUCCCAUCUGUGGAAGAAAAGAGAUUAAAGAAGCUUAAAGCUGCAUGAAGACAAAGGCCAAGAGGGACAUGGACUCUUCUUCAUGAUUUCAAAGAUACGCUGAGGCAGAUAAUGUGUACCCAGAAUGGUUUACUGAAAAGGUGCCCUGUGUAUGAAGCUGUGAAGGUGAAACCUAAGAGCCAAGGAAACCCCCAAAAUUUUGGAGAUACUGGAACCACUGAAUACCUGCUGAGGAAAGCUGCAUGUAAGAGAGAGGCUGCAGAUGGCUAGCUCCAUGAUAGCCAGGGCUAUACAGAGAAACUCUGUUUCAAAAAAACCCAAAACAAAACAAACAAAAUAAGUAAAUAAAAUAAAAUAAAAUAGGUAUAUCCUCUGACAUGAUAUAUUCUACUAGUAUAAUUCAUCAGUUGUUUCCUGGAAAAAAUGUUAGAACUAUCUACAAGUCCUGAUUAAAGAAUUCUAUCCUUUAUUCUCUUGUAACAAUUAGCAUCUCAGCGGCUUACUAUCUCAGUCUGCUAACCUAGGCCUAGUCCUGGAACUUUCUAGCCUCUGCACAAUCUAAUCUAGGCCCAAAAUGUUUCAGCCUUGCUACUAAAUAAGCUUACCCUUUCUUGUUCUUUCUGACCACUGACUUGAUGGUCAACUCAAUUGUUUUGGCUCAAACUCUUUUCCUCUUGGCCUCUUCUGAACUGCUCUGUUUGACCUCAUACUAACUUUGGCAAUCUGUUCUAAUCUUCUGCCUCCUUUUCAUUCUCUGACUCAUUCUAUCUUCACAUGUAUCUAGCUUGUUCUCUCUCCAACCUGUCUCUGUAAAACUCUCCUGAUAAAACUGCCUCCGUCUUCCUCUCUCCGCACUGCCCCUUAAGUGGCUUCCCUUUCCUCUCUUUUCUAGUGGGCAUUUCCUAUUCUGUCGAAUCUUUCUCAGAUUAGUCUCUUUGACUGACACUCAACUAGACAUCACUUUCGAACAUGAGUGCUUCCUUCUUGUGGGAAGCCACCCCCACAUUCGCCGUUACAAGAUGGCGCUGACAGCUGUGUUCUAAGUGGUAAACAAAUAA